AAUAUUUAAUAAAGUCAGUGAGUGAAAAGUAAGUUUUCCUUUACAUCAAACUUUCUUUAAAGGUUGAAGGAAAAAGAAAGAGUGGAAAAACUGACACCCAGCAGUUGCCUACUGAGAAGAAAGAAGAACAUGAUAGGUUUCACUUCAGACUUGUCUUAAAAGAAGAAGACAAGAAAAAAAGUCUCAAGGAAAAAUGUUCUCAAGAAGUUAAAGCAAAACAACAGCUUGAAAUUUCUUAUGCAACACUUGAAAUGGAAGUGAAGGCUUGAAAAGUGAAUCAGGUAAAUUAAUCUUUGAUGAAAAUUUUAUAUUGCUGUUGUAUCGGCAUUGUAGUAUUUCUUUGAUUGCAUAUUUACUCAUGCAUUGCUUACAUUGAGAACAUGAUCCAAAGCAUGUGUGGUUUGUUAUUUUCAUUAUUAUCCAAAUGUAAGCAGGUGGCCACACACACUUACAUCUCCCACAUCACUGGGCAAUAUCGUUUCAAGGACCAUAGUUGAGCAUGCAGUCCAGUGUUGAACAAAACAUUCUUAUACAUCACACGUCCCUAUUAUGUGGGUUGAAAACAAAAUGUUAAAUCACCCUCAGAAAACCUCA
rnacentral:lncRNA from 1 species